GAUGAACGCUGGCGGGGUGCCUAAUACAUGCAAGUCGAACGAAAGCACGAGAAGCUUUUUCCUCUUAGGUUGGCGACUGGCGGAGGAGUAACACGUAGAUAACAGUCAUAUAAGGCUGGGGUAAACUCGUUGGACAGCGGAUACUAACAUCUCAUAUUUUGUACCGUAUUCUUCAUAAGUACUACAGAGUCUUCAUGAUUGUCAUAGCUGAUUCCGGGUUGUAUUAGCUAGUUGGUAAGGUAACGGCUAACCAAGGCAACGAUGCAUAGCUGGUCUGAGAGGGUGAUCAGCCACACUGGAACUGAGACACGGUCCAGACUCCUACGGGAGGCAGCAGUAGGGAAUCUUGGGCAAUGGGCGAAAGCCUGACGCAGCAAUACCGCGUGAGUGAAGAAGGCCUUCGGAUCGUAAAACUCUGUUGUUAGGGAAGAACAGAAGUAGGAGAAUAUGUGCACGUCUUGACGGUACCUAAUCAGAAAGCCACGGCUAACUUCGUG
rnacentral:rRNA from 1 species